GAGAGACAGAGGCAGAAAUGAGGAGGGAGAAACAGCAGAUGGCCAUGACAAAAACAACAUAGAUACCUGCUAUCACACUCACAGACUUUCAGCUUCAUUUAUCAGAUUUUAAACUCAGGGAUUCUGUGAUUCUUGAAAAAUACCACCAUCUUUUGGACAUUUAUCGCACUUUAAAUGAAGAAGCAAUGUCUGCUGUAACGUCUGCAUCUCUCUGCCUGACUUUACUGUCUGUCUGCCUCUUGUUUGUCUCUGCAGACCAGAAAAUCAUCAUAGCUGUGCCGGGACAGACGGUCACUCUGCCAUGUCGAGCUCCAAACAGCGGCAACCCCAUCAUAGCUGCAGAGUGGAGCAGAGCUGACCUGGAGCAAGAAUAUGUCCUUUUUUACCGGGACGAUAAGCUUGAUACAGAAGAGCAGCAUCCGUCUUUUAAGAACCGGGUGGAUCUGCAGGACAGACAGAUGAAGGAUGGAGACAUGUCUCUGAUUCUGAAGGAUGUGACGACUGAUGACUCGGGAGCAUACGAGUGUUACGUGGUCCAGAGAGGAGCGAACCGCAGGAAGAGAGCCAGUCUGGAUAGUGACCCCAUCAGCACCACCUACCUGACUGUUGUUCCUCCAAGCCAGAAAAACAUCACAGCUGAGUCUGGACAGAACGUCACUCUGACAUGUCGAGCGCCAAACACUGUCCUCAUACCAGGUGUAGAGUGGAGCAGACGUGACUUGAAGGCACAAUAUGUGCUUUGGUACUGGGAAAAACAAUUUGUUCCAUAUUACCAGCAUCCAUCUUUUAAGAACCGGGUGGAUCUGCAGGACAGACAGAUGAAGGAUGGAGGCGUGUCUUUGAUUCUGAAGGAUGUUACGACUGCUGAUAGGGGAACAUAUGAGUGUUGUGUCGUCCAUGAAGUAAGAGAAGGUAGAAAGUUGGCCAUUUUAAAGACUGAGCCCAUCAGCGUCAUCCACCUAAAGGUUAUUUCACCAGGUCAGCCAGGAGGACACGGAGAGGAUGGAGCUGUUGGACUAACAGUUGUUAUUGUGCUUUCUAUUGCUCUUUUUGCAACUAUAAUAUACUACAUAAAAAUGAUAGAAAAUACAGAAGGAGAAAAAAACAGCACUUCCCAGACGAGCAGCAAGCUGAAACGCUCCACUCGUGUCACUCGUCCCACCUUUCGUAGCAAAAAGACAGAUGCUUCCAAGACAGAUGUGAGUUCACAGUGACGGGAAUCCAGCAGACAGUAGUCAGCUGUAAAUGUCUAACUUAUCUUGAGUUUGUUUUUUCCAUCUUUGGAGUUUUUCUGGUUCGGAUUGGUGGCGUUUGGGAGUGGAUACGUCUAGUCUGCAAAUAGUUAGAAAUCAACCAUCAUAAUAAUAAGUUAAAAUGACAGUUUUCAUCGUUUUCCUUUGGGGAACACGGAAAUGUCUUUGGAGCGCCUAAAUGUUUUUCUAUGGAGGAAAAGAGUUGUGUUUGUGAAGAUCAUGAGAACAUUUCUGUAGUGAAGUUACCUGUUUUAUCAACUUUCUUCAUCAGUUUUGAUGCAUUUUUUUGUGCCUUUCCCCAGUUUAUAUCGAUUGUGUUAUUUUAUUAUUAAUAAAGUGUGAACAUGUGCUAAUGUUGAGUGUGAUUUCAUAAGUCCUGCUGUGAGGUUUUUGACUGUCUGUGAAGAUGCUGGCUCACAAUGAAAACUACACUCGUCACUCAUUGUAAAAAAAUUAUUUAUUUAGGAUUACUUAUAUAUUAUAUUAUGUGAUAUAUUUAUUACUCUCAUUUCUUUCAGAUCACAAAACCAUGAACAGAAAAAAAACCUGUGAUAAGAACCUGGAUGAAGGGGCAAAGUCAGCACUUUUCAGUUGCAGUGAAAAUAAAACAAAGAAACAAAAAGAAAGAAAAUUGAAAAAAAGAAAAACCCACCAAUGAUAAAAUCUACCUCUGUUACCUUUCUGGCACUUAGGCAGUUAGACAUUCUUUAGAUUCCUACAGUUUACAAUCUUGAGAUCAAGGUUUAAAGCAGAAAAAAAUGAUGCAAGUAUUUCCAUCACAGUCGGAUUAAAAUCUGUUCACUGUAAAAAAAAAAAAAAAAAAGUAAGUAUUUGGGGAGGUGAACCUGAACCACUAGGUCAGUUCUGAUAGAUCAGAGAGUUACUGGAUCUUAUCUGACAUCUGUUUCUGCCUGGUUACAGUUGAUGAGUAAGAGACAAAGAAAGGUGUUUUGCCGUUUUUUUUUGUCAAACUUGUUUUGUGGACUCCCGCAUGAAAAUACUGCUUAAAACAAUUAAAGGAGCACUUUAAAAAUAGAUCAGACGUCAAAGCUCAUGCUAGACAGGUAUAUGAUAUGGAGUGGGUAGCGUGUUAAAAGGGAUGCCACAUAGUUUCAUGGAAAUGAAACUUAUCUAGUAGACUGAACUUAAAGAAACAUCAAACAUCAAGGUGAAAGGAUUAUGUGGAAGGCUGGUCCAUUUUUCAGUAACUCAUACUGGUGCUCAGUUUGGAUGGCUCCCAUGUGCUUGUAUGUCUACCUGACAACAUCAGGUCAUGCUAAUGAUGGAUGGUGUCUCCUCCGAGACCUGGAAUAAGGCAUCACUGAGCUCCUCGACCAUCUGAGGUGGACCGAAAAUUUAAUGUCACCAAGGUGUUCAAUUGGAUUUUGAACCGGUCAGUGGCAUCAAUUUCUUCAGCCUUCAGGAACUGCCUGCAUACUCUUGCCACAUAGCACUGGGAAUUAUUGUGCACCAGGAGGAACCCAGGAUCCAGGAUAUGCCAGACCAUCACUGACCAACAACCAACUGCCAACCUGUGUAGGGUCCAGGUAUAGACUCGUGCUACCAGCAAUGACACUGACCCCAGCCAAAUGAAAAACUAGUAAAAAAAAAUCAGAAAAGAUGAGGGGGGUUGAGUUGCCUGAUUGUUGCUAAACUCUGAUUUAAAAAAAGACUGUAUCCGUUUUUAAAGUUUAGUAUUUUCCCAUCUGUCCAUGAAAUGUUAAGUGGUGAAAAAGAAAAAAGAAAUUCUUUGUGGCACAAUAUUAUCAGGAUCAAUAAAAAUAAAAUAUGCA
ensembl:lncRNA